GUCUUGAAACUCAAAGAAUUUGGCGGUGUUUUAGUCUAUUCAGAGGAAUCUGUCCCAUAAUCGAUAAUACACGAAUAAUUUAAUUUAGUUUUGUAAAACAAUUUGUAUACCGCCGUCGUCAGAUUAUCUUUUCAGAGAGGAAUAAUCAAAAGUCUUAUUAGGAAAAAUGUCAGGUCAAGGUGCAGUUUAUGACUAAGAGGAGAUGGAUUACAAUAAAAUGAUUUAAACGGAAAUUAAAAUGAAAUUUUAAUUGAAGGUGGAUUUGAAGGUAAUGUUAAUUUAUUAUUAAUUUGAUUAUAGCUCUAAAACAUGCACACAUCGCCCGUCGCUCUCGUUACUAAGAUGAGAUAAGUCGUAACAAAGUAGGUGUACUGGAAAGUGUACCUAGAAAGGAUU
rnacentral:rRNA from 1 species